UACGUAGGGUGCAAGCGUUAUCCGGAAUUAUUGGGCGUAAAGAGCUCGUAGGCGGUUUGUCGCGUCUGCCGUGAAAGUCCGGGGCUCAACUCCGGAUCUGCGGUGGGUACGGGCAGACUAGAGUGCAGUAGGGGAGACUGGAAUUCCUGGUGUAGCGGUGAAAUGCGCAGAUAUCAGGAGGAACACCGGUGGCGAAGGCGGAUCUCUGGGCAGUAACUGACGCUGGAGGAGCGAAAGCGUGGGGAGCGAACAGG
rnacentral:rRNA from 1 species